UUAACGGAGAGUUUGAUUCUGGCUCAGAACGAACGCUGGCGGCGUGGAUAAGACAUGCAAGUCGGACGAGAUUUCGUCCUGUAGCAAUACGGGAAGAAGUCUAGUGGCGAACGGGUGCUUAACACGUGGGCAAUCUGUCUUAAAGUGGGGGAUAGCUCGGCGAAAGCCGAAUUAAUACCGCAUGUGAUUAGAGUGGACAUCCAUUCGAAAUUAAAGUCGGGGCAACCUGACGCUUUUUGAGGAGCCCGCGGCCUAUCAGCUAGUUGGUGAGGUAACGGCUCACCAAGGCUUUGACGGGUAGCUGGUCUGAGAGGACGACCAGCCACACUGGGACUGAGACACGGCCCAGACACCUACGGGUGGCAGCAGUCGAGAA
rnacentral:rRNA from 1 species